AGCACUCGAGUAUAAACAAUGUUACCAAACCCGAUAAUCAUGAGUCACAAGCUCUAAGAAUUUGUCUAAAUAUUUCGAUACAUCAGUAUCUAAACGAAAUAGAGGGUAAACAACAUAAGUGAUAGAGGGGGGCUUUGAGGUCUGCAGACGCUGGCAGAUAUACCUUGAAGUCUCCAGAGCAGCAUCAAGUACGCAACUAGUAGUGUGACUGGUAAGAGGUACCUGGAUCUGCACACAAAAUAUGUGCAGAAGAGUAGCAAGAGUACACCACAAUGGUACCCAGUAAGUGCCAAGACUAACCUCAGUAGAGUAGUGACGAGGUCAGGUCCGGGCCCUACUGGAUAUGAUAAUAAGACAGAAGAUAUAAAAAAUUGAAGAAAGACUAAGAAUUUAACAAAAGAAUUCACGGAGAACUAAUAACACAACAAAAUAAGACACACAACAUGGGUGCUCCCGAGCUACCGUCUCGUAGUCUCAAAAUUAAAUAUACAUGGAAAUCACCCGAGGUAUCGCCUCGUAGUCCCAAAAGUAAAUAUGUAAGGGAAUCUCCUGAGGUACCACCUCGUAGUGCCAAAAGUAACUGUGUAGGGGGAUCUCCCGAGAUACCGCCUCGUAGUCUCAAUAGUAAAUAUGCAAGGGAAUCUUUCGAGGUACCGCAAAUGAUCAUAUUUCACCUGCUGGCAAUUUAGACAUCGAGCUACAUACUCUACUAUGUCCUUCUUCAUUCUUCUCCACAAUUAAUGCUUCCUCAAGUUCUGAUACAUCUUUGCGGCACCUGGAUAAAUGGAGUACCGCAAACUAUGAGCUUCCUAGAUAAUCAACUCACAUAAUCCAUCUAUAUUGGGCAUACAUAGCCUGUCAUCCUCAAAGCACCAUCAUCUCCACCAUGAAAGUUACUACCUGUACUAGAUACUGAACAGGAACAGUGCAAUAGUCAACUUUCUAUAAAAGGGUUUUUACCUAUCUUGCUUAUAUCAUUGUAAGUGAUGUCGUACACGUAUAAAUAUCAUCAAGGAAGGUAAAACAACUUAAUUCAUGAGAGAACCAAAUAAAGGACCUGAAGCUAGCGUGGUAUGAUCAUUCAGAUCGACUCAAGAUAAUCUUGGCAGUGUGCUUUAGGUUCACAAGAACCACAUUAGGAACCUGAUAUCUUGGUGUUCCCCUGACAGAAGUAUAAGCCAACAGUACAGCUGGAAAGCAACUACAGAAAGUGAGUGCCUGCAACUGUACACGCAACAGUUCUGCAGACAGUGCAACAGUCACUUCCCAUUGAGAAUGGACAUUACCAUUGUGAAUUGACACCACUAAGGUAAUUUCUUGUAUAGUAUAAACCUCAUUCAAGGCACAAGAUUUUGGUUUAACACUUGCAAAAUACAAAAAAUGAAAAUACUCUCUCAAGUGCAAGAACAACCUCUCUUUUAAGAACAAAGCUGUUGCAACCUCAAGGACCUGAUUCAAGAUCGAAGAUAUCUUAAGUCCUUAGGUUUGUUGAGUUUUUGUUAUUUUUUCUUCAUUUUAACUCCUAUCUUGGUUUCUUACAAGUUAUUUUAGGAAACAUAAAAUCACAAACCCUCCAAGUUUGUGUCUUGUCUAGAGCUAGUCAAGUUGUAAAGCCUUUGUAAUAGAGUUAUUACAAAGUGGCUUGUAAUACGGUUAUUACAAGUUAGAGUGUCAAAAGCCUUGGUAACUAUAAAGUGACAAAGUGUCUUGUUGUGAGAGCAUCGCAAAUUAGUAAAAUCCUUUGUAACUAGGGAGUCACAAAGCGACUUGUGGAAAGAGUACCACAAGUUAGUCUAAUUCUUUGUAACUAGGAUAGUUAUGGAGUGGCUUGUGGUGAUAGCAUCACAAGUUAGUUGAAGUCUUUGAAAUAGGGUUAUUAUAAAGUAGCUUGUAAUAGGGAGAUUUCAAGUUAGUAAAGUUAAAAGCCCGCAGGUGUGGAUCGUGAUUUUAUGAUCCCCUUGUGUGAGAUAUUUUCACGUAAAAAUCUCUUGCCUUUUUUACAUUCAGCUUUACUAGCAUUCACAGUACAACCCGAUAAAGGACCAUGUACUCUACUAUUUGGUAGACUCACACAAACUUAGCAUUGUACCAAACUGAUAUAGGACCAGAUCACUAUACAGUUUGGUUCAUCAGUAUUUACAGAGGAAACAUAUAGAGAACCUGAUUCUCUAUACAGUCUGGUGGACGCACAGUUCCUAACGAUUAGUAUCAGAGCAGGUUCUUUCUAAAAUAUUAACACCUCAAAAGGAUCUACAUGAUGCUCUACCAGAAUUUGAGGAAGGUCGGUAAACCUACUGGCCACCAAGAUUUCAGAAAAUGGUUAGUAAAAAUGGAGACAUUCCCAAGAAGGGUAGCUCUAGCAGAAACACUAAAGGAUACGAUUAUUGUCACAAGUAUAGAAAACCAGGACAUUUUAUCAAAGACUUUCCUCUCCACAAUCAAGUCUAUUACAAAAACAAUGAUGACAAGGUGGGUAAGAGGAACCUAGUCCACGACAAAAAGUUCAAGAAAAGAGAUGUCAGUUGGAAUUUUAUAAAUCAAGCUCUGGAUACCUGGGGAGAUUCUUCUAGUGAAUCAGAUGGUGAUAAUGGAAAGGAAGACACCUCCAUGAUGGCCACUAAAAGAGAAGCCACAAAAUAUGAUUCCUUAUUUGCAUUGAUGGCAAAUCUGAUGAGGAUGAAAAAGAUGAUGAUGAUAAGGUAAACUUCUUUGAUGUUCAAAUAAAUCUAAAGUAUUAUUCUUCGAAAAAACUUAUGUCUUCAGAAAAUGUUUUAAUUGAUGCAUAUCAUAGUCUUAUAAAAGAAAAAGAUGCCUUAGCUGAAAAUAUUUCAACCAUAAGACGUGAGAGAGAUAAUCUAGUGGUUGUUAUGGUCAAUCUAAAGGAGAACAUUGAGUGUGCUAGAAAGGAGAAAGAGGUUUUAACUAAGAAGGUUGUUAACAUUGAGCAUGAGAGAGAUGAUCUAUCAGUUGUGGGUGUAGACCUAAAGAAAACAAUUGAGGAACUAAAAAAGGAAAGUAGGCCACUCAAAAGAGAAAUAAAGUUGCAAGUGGGGCAUACAUUAAGCUUGAAAGUGAGUUAAAUUUAGUGAAGUCUAGUUUGUCUGCUGAGCUUGAGAAAAAUAAACAAUUUCAAGAAGAACUAGGUAGAGUGAAGAGUGGCUUGAAAAAUCACACAAAUGGACCUGGUCCUGUAAUUCUACACUGCCUUGUACACAUAUAAUGGGGAAAAAAGGCAAUAAAUCGGGUUCCAAAGGGAAAAGAUUCCCUACAACCCUCAUAGAAAGUAAGUUACUCUACCUGACAAUGGACUUUACACUUACUGUUGAAACACUAGGCACUUGAAAGAAAAUUUAAGGUCAGCAUUCAGUCCCAACAGAAAAAUAAAGUUUUUGCUGAAAAUGUAACUGCUGCUAUAGAACCUGGUCCUUCACAUAAAAAUCGUAUAAUGCCUGCUUGGACCAAAAAAGCCCUUUCACCCAUUUUCUCAUUACAAGAACUCCUGUAAAGUUAAAAUUCAGUCGUUGUAAAAAUAUAAAGUUGUUGUUGAAAAGAGGCGUAUUGAUGAGAAACCUAGUUCCAAGAAAAGAAAAUAUAUGUUGCCUGCAUGGGCAAAAAGAAGUCUGAUCCACCCAUUUUAUCAUUAGCUGGCUUGGGUUCCUAAGUCUAAUAAUUGAUUUAAUGUGCAUAGAACAGUGAAAGGGAGCAGUCAACAGUGGUACAUGGAUAGCGACUGCUCAAAGCUCAUGACUGGAAGAACAAAUGAUUUCCAUUCACUGAAAGCCUUACAAGGAGGGAAUGUAUCCUCUGGAAAUGAAAGAAGGGGUACAUUCUUGGUGUCAGAAAGGUUGGAAAUCCUCUCAAAUCUGUGAUGAAGGGAACAAAGUAGAGUUCUUAUAUAAAGUGAGCAUAGUUACUAAUCUGGUAAUUGGAGAAUUGAUCUUAACAGCCAAAAGAUACAAGAAUAUCAACGUUGCUGAUUUUGAGUCUCUACAAGGUGGUGAUAUGAGCUGCUUGAAGAAGGACAUGGUUCACGGUCUACCAAAUUCAAAUUUCAAGGAGCACAGAGUGUAUGAUGCAUGUGCUAAGGGAAAUAUCUGAUGCUUCAAAUGGCAAGGCUGAUAUGAUGAGUCAGAUGAAGAAGGAAAGUGAAGAAAAUGUCACUCCCUCUUCCACUUCUCAAGAGGAACCUGGUACCCCAAUUGCUACCACUAAAGCUGAAGAAAGAGUUGGAGAUGCAACAUUAGGAACUCCUGAUGCAAAACAAAAUAGUGGAAGUCAUGAUUCUGUUGAUGUCAAUGAUGAUUCACAUAUGGAAGAACCUAGUCCUUCAAUUUUGAAGUUCAAAUCAAGCCUAAGAACAUCAAAGAAGCAUUGAAAAUGCUAUUUGGAUAUCCGCUAUACAAGACGAACAUCAUCAAUUGAGAGGAAUCCAAUGUGGCCCUUGGUCCCUAGGCCUUCAUACAGAAUAGUGAUUGGAACAUGGCCCUAAACACUCCCACUUGAAGGGUGCCAAGGAAAGUUUGAGGUAUCCUAAGGGAACGAAGGACAUGGUCCCCAUCUAGUGUUCAGGAGAUUCUCUUGAUUUGGUUGUAUAUGUUGAUGCUGAUUAUGCAGAAUAUCUUGGUGACAAGAAAGACACUUCUAGAAUGGUACAUUUUCCAGGAUCAUACUUGAUCUCAUGUGGUACAAAGACGCAAACUGUGCGACUCUUUCUACUAUUGAAGCUGAAUACGUGGUUGUUGCUUCUUGUUGUGCUCAAAUAGUACAGAUCAGGAAAUAUCUUAAAGACUGGUGUAUUUACAAUUUAAACCUGGUAAAACACAAGAGACAAAGCACAUUGAUGUUAGACACCAAUUUCUUAGGGACAAUAUUGAAAAGGUUCUGAUUUGUAUGAAGUUUUUGAAGACGAAGGAUCAGGUAGCACACAUCUUCACCAAGUUGCUGAGCAGGGAACAUCUUGAAAGAAAUAUUUUGGAGUUGGGGUUGAUUAAGCUCUGGAAUUGGUCCCUCGAUGAUUGGUUAUGUUAAUAAGGAAAGGUACAAUGCUAAAAAGUAUUUUCAGCGACAUCUAACUCAAAUCUAUACUGUUACCGGUAUAUACAUAUGGCAGUCUCAGGAAAAACAAGUAAGAGUGACAUUGCACUUCUAGGAGUCUUUGCUCAAAAUUUUCAAAAAACAGUCAAGGAACCUGUUUCCUGUGACUCAGGUUAGUAGUCUCUUCAAUACUUAUAUGCCUUUUUAAGCUGCUGCAGUGUCAUGCCAUCAGUUUGUUUAUGCCUUUCUCCUACCUCUCCUCCUAACUUUUGAAGUCCAAAAUGUUAAACAUUUUCUAAACUGACCCGUUUCCCCAAAAAGGAACUUUUUUAUCUUACACCCAAAUGAAACCGAUUCUUUUCUUCAAAACCAGAAUCAACCUUGUCUCAAAGUAAUCCUUCUUUUCAAAUAUGCUAGAGCUGACCCAGCUCCCUCACUUUCCAAAAAUCUAACUCCAUCAGAAUCAUAACCCCAAGAAGUCUUUGGUAGAUUUGAUGGAAGUGUAACUGAAAGGGAACAUGGUAGAUCUAAUAUUCUAGAGCGUGAGGCUGAAGUUGCAGUUGGUUUCGUAGAAAUAUUGAAGCAUGGAGAAAUUGGUGAAUAUGAGAAUUGAAUGAGGGACCUGGUCCCUCAAGUCCUUCUCAUGAAGUUAAAUUUAAUGAUGAUCUUUUUCUCCUUGAGUUUUGUGUAUAAACAAAUUUUCGAUCAGUAAAUAGGAUUGAAGGAAAGUAAGUUGAUUGAUGGUAAAAUGGUAUGAGUUGCUGAUGUGAUUAGAGAAUGAAAUGAAAUCUUUUCCUGUGGGAAAGAAUUUAAAUAACAAUAAAGUUGGCCGAGAAAGAUGCAGCAGAUGAUACAGGUAAACAUAUUGAGAAGAAGAAGAGGGAGACAUGGUUGCUCAUGGAUAGAAGUGUAAGUGAGGAACCUGGUUCUUUACAGAAGCAAAAGAUUAAGUCAUUAGGUUUGGAUGGAGAAGACGUUGAAGUUUCAAAAGGUGCUAUAAGGCAGAGUGUUGUCUCCAAUAUUGAUGAAAAAUGGAGGAACUUCUCAACAUUGUUGAGUUCCAAAGAUAGAAUUACCUCUUUGUUCCUCCAAGUCCCAAUGUUUCUAAAGAAGAAGUAAAAACUUCUAUGUUUUACGUGGUACUAUAAUGCUAUAUGUGCAUGGGACUAGGUAUGUUCUUGAUGAGACGAAACUUGGGGAGAUUCUUGGUGAUCUGAGUGAUGGUUCAACCUACUCAGGUAGGUUGAGAACCUAGUCUUCGAGGACCAUUUGCAGAAUAUAAUGCUAAGUUAAAGGGUGAAAAUAAAAGAUUGAGGAAACAGGUGGAGGAAUUGAAAGAGUAGAUGAUCAUUGGUUAAAGGGACAAAAUGAACGAAUGCACAAGCUAAUCAAAGCCUUAGCCUCUUACUUUUCUUCCUACCGAGUGAUCCAUGUCCUUCACUCCUUCCCGAUUCCCUUGAAUUCUUACUGUCACACAUCCUUUUACACACACCCGAAGAUGAUACAAGGGAGAUUUUCCAAUUUAAGUGACACUAUUCGAAAUGAGAGUAUUUAUUUGUUUUUAUUCAGGGUCGCCACUUGGGAUGGUUUGUUUUCUGGUAUUCCAAGUCACCGGUUUAUUUUAAAAUCCCAAAUGGAGGAAAAUUUCGACUUUCCUUUUGAAGUCUGCAAACCAGAAAUUCUGAAUAAGGAAUUCUGUUAACCCGAAAUAAGGUGUCAGGCACCCCCAGAUUCCGUGGUUCUAGCACGGUCGCUUAAACUAUCAUAAUUAGCCUAUAUCUAAUUUAAUAUAUGUUUUAGCCUAUCGUGCAUUUUAGCUUUAUAACCGCUUUUAAUUAUUUAUUGGAAGAUUUAACAUUAUCUAAAACAUGUCUUGAACCAUGCCAGUGAAAUGCACCCGCGGUCUACGACAUAUUUUAUUUAACGUUGUUGAGAAUUGGAGUUGGGUCACAUGAAAUGCACACCCGAUUUUAAGGAAAUUAAUUUAAAUUACGCGCCUAAAGCAACUAGUUCUAGCGCGGUCGCUUAAGCUAUCAUAAUUGGCCUAUUAUCUAAUUUUAAUACAUGUUCGAACCUAUAGUGUAAUUUUAAAUUAUUUACCGCUUUUAAUUAAUUUUAAGAAAGAUUGAACAUCGUUUAAAACAUGUCUUUGGAUUGUGUCACAUGAAAUGUACUCGCAAUCUGAAACACAUUUUAUUUAUGAGUCACAUGAAAUGCACACCCGAGUUUAGGAAAUUAAUUAUUAAAACAACGCGCCUAAAGCAACUACGCAUUUGCAACUUUACGAGGGCCAUGAAAAUCUGCUAAAUGGCGCACCUCGAAGUCUAAGGAUCAAGACAAGACUAAUUAAAACGAGGGUCAUGCAUGAUUAACUUGUGGAUGGCACACCCCGGACUAUCAAUAGCCUAUAAAAACCUAUUUUAUUAUUAAGAAAUUUUGGUCGAAGUUGUGCGAACGCAUACUCCGAAAUAAUUUUUAAAAUUGUAAUCAUGUCACGUGAACGUGUACACAAUCAAAAUUGUAUUUUAUACGCGCCUAAAGCCAGCCUGUGACUAGUAACGCAGCUAAUAGAAGUGAAAUCAACAACAAUUUAUAACAAAUGGGUAAGAAAUAUAGCAAAGGUUCCAUAUUUGUAAACAACUCCAAGAAACAGAAAAAGUAACACCGGAAGAGUGCUUCCGAUGGUGCAAUAAACAAAUCGAAACCAUGGCCUUAAAUCAAUUACUCUCCAGACAACAACUAAUAAUUACCAAGCAUCGAAGAUUUAAAAGACUUUCCCCGUAAAAUAGCAACAAUAGUGAACAUAUAAGCAACAAAGCAGACCAUAUAUAAAAUAGAUUAAACAAACCAACAAUCCCCUCACUUUAUUAUCAAAUAUGGUCUUUGACGUAAUAUCAUAUUGUCUUUUGAUUAUACUAACAUGAAUACCGGAACGUGACAUUAUAUGAUCUUUUAAUAGUCUUUACAAAAUUGAGUUUAAAUGUUCUUUUUAAAGAAAUCAAUUCAAUCUCAAACCCAAGUUAAUAACACAAAUCAAGUAAAACUACAUCAAAGACAUACCAAUAGAAUCCAUUUCAAUUCCUGCCCAAGCUAGUUGGAUGAUGAGGAAAAUUAUCCAAGCCAGAGAUGUUCUACAAAGGAUCCAGAAUUGGAGGGAACAGAAGUGCUCGACAAGACAGUUGUACCAUUCUCAGAUCCAAACAGUACCGAGAGUUCCAUGGAAGAAUUUAAUCAUACAGAACCAAGCAAGACCAAAAGCAACAUUCAACAUAUGGCUAUUCCUCCAGGAUAGACUCCCAACAAAGGACAGACUACACAGCUGGAAAAUGAUUAUUGAUCAGCAGUGCCCAUUGUGCCAAAGCCACCCGGAAUCAAGAGAUCACUUAUUAAUGAACUGUCCUGUCACUGUGGACUUAUGUGAACAAACAAUGAACUGGCUGCAGUAAAC
rnacentral:lncRNA from 1 species